CUUGCUUUCUUUGCUGGCGACCGGCGCACGGGUGAGUAACACGUAUCCAACCUGCCCUUUACUCGGGGAUAGCCUUUCGAAAGAAAGAUUAAUACCCGAUAGUAUAAUGAUUCCGCAUGGUUUCAUUAUUAAAGGAUUCCGGUAAAGGAUGGGGAUGUGUUCCAUUAGGUUGUUGGUGAGGUAACGGCUCACCAAGCCUUCGAUGGAUAGGGGUUCUGAGGGGAAGGUCCCCCACAUUGGAACUGAGACACGGUCCAA
rnacentral:rRNA from 1 species